rnacentral:rRNA from 1 species
GUAGGUGGCAAGCGUUGUCCGGAAUUAUUGGGCGUAAAGCGCGCGCAGGGUGGUUCUUUAAGUCUGGGUGUGAAAGCCCCCGGGCUCAACCGGGGAGGGUCAUUGGAAACUGGGGAACUUGAGUGCAGGAGAGGAAAGUGGAAUUCCACGUGUAGCGGUGAAAUGCGUAGAUAUGUGGAGGAACACCAGUGGCGAAGGCGACUUUCUGGCCUGUAACUGACACUGAGGCGCGAAAGCGUGGGGAGCAAACAGGAUUAGAUACCCUGGUAGUCCACGCCGUAAACGAUGAGUGCUAAGUGUUGGGGGGUUUCCGCCCCUCAGUGCUGCAGCUAACGCAUUAAGCACUCCGCCUGGGGAGUACGGCCGCAAGACUG